CUGCUUUGGCAGCACAUAUAAUAAAAUUGGAAUGAUACAGAGAAUGUUGUCAUGAUCCAUGUGCAAUGAUGACAUGCAAAUUUGUGAAACAUUCAAUUAAAAAAUAUUU
rnacentral:snRNA from 1 species